AUUGAACGCUGGCGGCAGGCCUAACACAUGCAAGUCGAGCGGAUGCACGGAGUUUGCCCUUGGAUCCAGCGGCGGACGGGUGAGUAAUGCCUAGGAACCUGCCCAGUAGUGGGGGAUAACGUCCGGAAACGGGCGCUAAUACCGCAUACGUCCUGAGGGUGAAAGCGGGGGAUCUUCGGACCUCACGCUAUCAGAUGAGCCUAGGUCGGAUUAGCUAGUUGGUGGGGUAAAGGCCUACCAAGGCGACGAUCCGUAACUGGUCUGAGAGGAUGAUCAGUCACACUGGAACUGAGACACGGUCCAGACUCCUACGGGAGGCAGCAGUGGGGAAUAUUGGACAAUGGGCGAAAGCCUGAUCCAGCCAUGCCGCGUGUGUGAAGAAGGUCUUCGGAUUGUAAAGCGCUUUAAGUUGGGAGGAAGGGCAGUAAGUUAAUACCUUGCUGUUUUGACGGUACCAACAGAAUAAGCACCGGCUAACUUCGUG
rnacentral:rRNA from 1 species